ensembl:ncRNA lncRNA:CR46226 long non-coding RNA:CR46226
UAUCAGAUACCCAUUACCCAGGUGGGGUGGGGGGGAGACAUAAUAUUUUGAAUAACGAUUGAAAGACAUUAUGAUGUUUCCUUGCGUUGCAAAUAUUCACGACAUGUUCCACAUGUUCUUCUGCGAGCUGCUAUUACAAAAUUACCCUUGGCAGAAAACUUUAAAAAUUGCAUGGUAGCGAGUGAUAAAUUAUGCUGUCCCCAUCACACUCUGCGUUAUGUUUUAUGCGGCCCCUAAAAAAUGAUGUAUAUGUGGAUGAUAAAAAGUAGAUUGC